CCUGCGGGUUUUCGGACUGCCUCCGAGGUCCGAACACAUUACAAAAGGUCCGAACAAAUCCGAACGAGGUCCUAACAUGCUCCUAACCAGGUCCGAACAUAUUCCUUCAGAGAUCAAAGAGUUUCGAAUGAGAUCCGAACACAGUUCCGAACAGUAUAGGUCACGUGACGCGGGAGGGGCGGGAAUAUACGAUGAACAUCGCGUUAGAGUCGCAGCCAUUUUUUCCACCGCUUGCGGGAGAUAAAACAUCGGUAGAAAGAUGAAGGAAGCAAAGCCUGAUUCCUAUUGGAGGGAUGUAUGCCUCAAGUAUGCUCGGGGCCAAUUCCAUUUUACCACAGGCAAACGGCCAGGGGCCAAAAAAUGGAAAAAGGCCUUAGAAAAAAUAGAUGCUUGCCCGCUGCAGAAGCAAAUUAACACCAAGGAUCUGUUUGGGAGAAGCCUUAAGUGCUCCUGUGGGUUCCACAAGGUAGGUGAAAUUAUUUACUAAUUGAUUGUUUGCUGGUUUGUUUGUUUGUUUUUUCCUCUGGUGGGCUUCAGUGAUUUUGCAGUAAUGCCUCUGAUGUUUUCAAAGCCUGUUUGCUUUUUAUUGAUUUUCUUUUAACAUGUCAGAAUAAACACUAUUCAAUGCAUCGUUC